rnacentral:lncRNA from 10 species
AUCUUGACACUCAAACGCAAUUUUCUGUUGUUACAGGGCCAAGGAGCUCUGGGCCUGAGAGGGGAAGAGUCUGGUACCCAGCACUGGGGGCUGAAUACCCUGGACAAAUUCACCCUGCUGUCUUCUGCUAGAGCUGGCUUCAGUACAGUGAGAUGUGAGAAGGAAGGCCUCUGGGGAGAUAUGGUGGGGAUCCCCUUCCCUUCUUGUUUCCAGAACAUUUUUGGGUUUGUUUGUACCUCCUGUGCCUGUGGCGGCAUCUGGCAGAUGUGGGGAAGGUUAAGAGAAUCUGGAAAGCUGACCCAGAGCCUGACA